rnacentral:rRNA from 1 species
GAGUUUGAUCCUGGCUCAGGACAAACGCUGGCGGCGUGCUUAACACAUGCAAGUCGAACGAUGAAACGGAACGGAAAUUUUCGGAUGGAAGUUCUGUGGAUUAGUGGCGGACGGGUGAGUAAUGCAUGAAGAACCUGCCUUUCACAUAGGAAUAGCCUCGGGAAACCGGGAUUAAUACCAAAUGACACUCCGAGAUCGCAUGUUUUUGGGGUUAAAGAUUUUAUCGGUGAAAGAUGGCUUCAUGUCCCAUUAGCUGGUUGGUGAGGUAACGGCUCACCAAGGCGACGAUGGGUAGCCGGCCUGAGAGGGUGAACGGCCACAUUGGAACUGAGACACGGUCCAAACUCCUACGGGAGGCAGCAGUGGGGAAUAUUGCACAAUGGAGGAAACUCUGAUGCAGCGACGCCGCGUGAGCGAUGAAGGUCUUCGGAUCGUAAAGCUCUGUCCUAAGGGACGAUAAUGACG